UGUGUCUGCAACCACGUUGUCCUUACC
rnacentral:sRNA from 1 species